GCUGGGUGCAGUGGCGUGUGCCUGUAGUCUCAGGUACUUGGGAGGCUGAAUGUGGAGGAUUGCUUGAGUCUAGGAGUUCGAGGCUGCAAUGAUCUAUGAUGGUGCUUGUGAAUAGCCACUGAGUCUAGCCUGGGCAACAUAGCAAGACCCUGUAUCUA
rnacentral:SRP_RNA from 1 species